rnacentral:rRNA from 1 species
GACGGGACCGCACAAGCGGUGGAUGAUGUGGUUUAAUUCGAUGCAACGCGAAAACCUUACCCACCUUUGACAUGUACGGAAGCCUUUAGAGAUAGAGGCGUGCUCGAAAGAGAGCCGUAACACAGGUGCUGCAUGGCUGUCGUCAGCUCGUGUCGUGAGAUGUUGGGUUAAGUCCCGCAACGAGCGCAACCCUUGUCAUUAGUUGCUACAUUCAGUUGGGCACUCUAAUGAGACUGCCGGUGACAAGCCGGAGGAAGGUGGGGAUGACGUCAAGUCCUCAUGGCCCUUAUAGGUGGGGCUACACACGUCAUACAAUGGCUGGUACAAAGGGUUGCCAACCCGCGAGGGGGAGCUAAUCCCAUAAAGCCAGUCGUAGUCCGGAUCGUAGUCUGCAACUCGACUACGUGAAGUCGGAAUCGCUAGUAAUCGUGGAUCAGAAUGUCACGGUGAAUACGUUCCCGGGUCUU